rnacentral:rRNA from 1 species
CAUGUAGGCGGAUAUGCAAGCUUGGUGUGAAAGGCAGGGGCUUAACUCCUGGACUGCGUUGAGAACUGCAUAACUAGAGUAACUGAGGGGCAACCGGAAUUCCAGGUGUAGGGGUGAAAUCUGUAGAUAUCUGGAAGAACACCAAUGGCGAAGGCAGGUUACCAGCAGAUUACUGACGCUGAGGUGCGAAGGUGCGGGGAGCAAACA